rnacentral:tRNA from 1 species
GCGGUUGUGGCUCAGUGGUAGAGUGCUUGCCUAGCAUGCAUGAGGACCAGGGUUCAAUCCUCAGCACCACA